rnacentral:rRNA from 1 species
AUUGAACGCUGGCGGCAGGCCUAACACAUGCAAGUCGAGCGAGCGGCGGACGGGUGAGUAAUGUAUGGGGACUGCCCGAUAGAGGGGGAUAACUACUGGAAACGGUGGCUAAUACCGCAUACAGUCGGAUAACCCAUAUGGGAUUAGCUAGUAGGUAAGGUAAUGGCUUACCUAGGCGACGAUCCCUAGCUGGUCUGAGAGGGUGAUCAGCCACACGUGGACUGAGCCACGGCCCAGACUCCGACGGAGGCAGCAGUGGGGAAUAUUGCCCAAUGGGCGCAAGCCUGAUGCAGCCAUGCCGCGUGUAUGAAGAAGUCCCUAGGGUUGUAAAGUACUUUCAGUCGGGAGGCGUUACCGACAGAAGAAGCACCGGCUAACUCCGUGCCAGCAGCCGCGGUAAUAC